UACGUAGGGUGCGAGCGUUAAUCGGAAUUACUGGGCGUAAAGCGUGCGCAGGCGGUUCGUUAAGACAGAUGUGAAAUCCCCGGGCUUAACCUGGGAACUGCAUUUGUGACUGGCGAGCUAGAGUAUGGCAGAGGGGGGGUAGAAUUCCACGUGUAGCAGUGAAAAUGCGUAGAGAUGUGGAGGAAUACCGAUGGCGAAGGCAGCCCCCCUGGGCCAAUACUGACGCUCAUGCACGAAAGCGUGGGGGAGCAAACAGG
rnacentral:rRNA from 1 species